CCUACGGGUGGCAGCAGUGGGGAAUAUUGCACAAUGGGGGGAAGCCUGAUGCAGCAACGCCGCGUGGGUGAAGAAGUAUUUCGGUAUGUAAAGCCCUGUCAGCAGGGACGAAAAUGACGGUACCUGCCGAAGAAGCCCCGGCUAACUACGGGCCAGCAGCAGCGGUAAUACGUAGGGGGCAAGCGUUAUCCGGAUUUACUGGGUGUAAAGGGAGCGUAGACGGCAAGGCAAGUCUGGAGUGAAAGCCAGUGGCUCAACCACGGGACUGCUUUGGAAACUGUGUUGCUGGAGUGCAGGAGGGGUAAGCGGAAUUCCUAGUGUAGCGGUGAAAUGCGUAGAUAUUAGGAGGAACACCGGUGUCGAAGGCGGCUUACUGGACUGUAACUGACGUUGAGGCUCGAAGGCGUGGGGAGCAAACAGGAUUAGAUACCCCUGUAGUC
rnacentral:rRNA from 1 species